CCCGACCCAUCAACGGUCCAACCCGACUCUUGAAGGUCCCAUCCCGCAUCUCGGGACUAGGGUCAACCCUACUAUAUAUAUAUAAGGCAAUGUUCGACAAGCUUCGACUUGGAGACAAUUGCCGACAAGAUGGAGGCUUCGUCUCACACGGCCUAUACGAGGGAAAAUGUAAGCCUGAGGAGAAGUAUUUUUUAUUGUAAAUGAGGCACGUGAGUGUAGUACAAUGAAAUCAAAAUCUUAACAUUUAAUACAAUGAAAUCAGAAUCUUGUAAAUGGGCACAUGUAGUCCCACCAUGAAUAUUAAACCUAGAACUUAUUGGUUGUUAGACGAGAACGUGCACCACUAUGCUAUAACCUCUUUGAUUAAACAUAUUUUACUUUUACCCUUUUUA